AUGCAAUCCAUCUACAUAUUACCCGGUUGGGAAGGGUCCGCGCAUGAUGGUUGGGUUCUUAGGGAUGCUAUCUCACGACCAAAUGGGUUGUGUGUCCCCAAAGGCCAAUAUUAUCUUGUCGAUGCUAGCUAUACAAAUGCAAAAGGAUUUUUAGCUCCAUACCAAGGUCAAAGGUAUCACUUGGGUGGUUGGACACCCACAAAAUUCACCUCGUAG
rnacentral:rRNA from 1 species